UAGGGACCAAGAUUGGUCCCCUUUCACCCGCGAAGACAGAACCCUCCUUCCUUUCUUACAAAAAUCCCUCCUCCCCUGCUUCCUUCUUCAGAGCACGAAGCACCCCCUCCCCGCCGAGAGAGAGUGGGUGGAAGGCCGGCCGGUGGAGACUGGAAUUUCUCGUGUAACUCUCUUCUUGUUUUAAUCUUCUCUUGGCGUCUUCCGUUGCAAGCCCGUUUUCAAGGGUGUGUUUGUAUCAUUCUCUCCCUUGCUCGCUCGGUUUAAGGUGGUGUUGGGGUCUCCAUCCAAGCCCGCUACGACCCUGGUGCAACUUCUGGUGGUGGUUAGCCAUUGCUGCUGACUGCUGAGAGACAAAGAAGCAUAGUAAGAAGACGAUGUCAGACUAUCUCCCAAACGAGGUGAUCAUCGAAAUCCUCUCAAGACUGCCUGUGAAGUCGCUCAUUAGAUUCAGGGGCGUUUCCAAGACAUGGUACACUCUCAUCUCCAGCGCACACUUCAUCGCUACCCACCUCAAUCGCGCUCUUUCCAAUCCCCAACACCCACCCCACCUUCUCCUCCACCAUUUAAACUACGAACUCAAUAAAGACAGCUUCACUCUCCAUUCUUCUGAUGACCCAUUCCCUCACAACCAUUUCACCAAACACCUGGACUACAGCUCCCCUGCCAUACAUAUCCUCCUGCUUUCUCUCGAUAAAGAAAUAGAAGAGAAAGGGGGUUUCUUUGCAUAUCCAUCGGAUUUCAUAGAAUUGCAUUGUUUACACCAGAGCAUCAACCAUUUCUUGUACGUAGUUGGAUCGUCCAAUGGCCUACUUUGUCUCGCGGAUGAUGUUUUCGGUAACAAAGUUGGGUUAUAUGUUCUUUGGAACCCUUCUAUUCAAAAAGCUAUAUCCCUUCCGGAGCCUAAUAUUGGAUUUAGAUCUCACGGUCGGUUUAUCCAUUCUCUUGGCUUUGGGUAUGACCCCAAGACUGAAGAUUACAAAUUGGUGAGACUUGUGUAUAUUGAAGGCACUACUGAUAUUCGUUUCAACACUGUUCCACCUCUAGUUGAGAUUUAUUCGCUUCGAACCAGCGCAUGGCACUCUGUUAAGGCCCCUGGUCCUCCCUAUGUCAUCGAGAUGUGGUCCUUAUCAGUUUUCUUGAAUGGGGCAGUACAUUGGCCAGCACACACUCAGCGACACCAAGGUGCGUUUCGCAAUGUGAUCGUGUCGUUUGACAUGAAUGAUGAGGCCUUUCGUGAAGUGGCUAUGCCUAAGAGUUUGCAAGGAGUGGAACACUUGAAUGUUACUGUGGCCAUAGUUGAUGGGUUGCUUGCACUUGUCCCCUUUAAUGAAUGGGGCAAUGAGGAGUUUUACUCUGUGUGGGUGAUGAAAGAGUAUGGAGUAGCGGAAUCUUGGACGAAGCUGUUUGAUAUUGACAUUGGGGAAGGGUUGGAGAGGGUGAUAGGCGUUACAAAGAAUGGUGAAGUUCUACUGACCAAGGCUGGAAAUUUGUUUUCUUAUGGACCUAGUAGCCAACAAACUUUUGAUCUUCACAUUCGUGGCGCAACAGACUCAUUUUCUUUGGAUACCUAUGUGGAGAGCCUUCUUCUUCUGAAUACAGCAGAUGGAGUUCUGGGAAACUAGGCAACUCAGUCUUGUUCUAUUAACCACAAGGCAGAUAGAGAAGGAUAUAUUUUCAUUAUCAUGCCAAAACAAGCAGAUUGGUUUAAAGUCAAGAGAUCAUUGCUGGGCCUUGAAGGGUAUAAAAAACUUAAGAGAACAUCAAAUCAUUGGAAUGUGCUGUUACACUUCUGUGCCUUGAGGGAAAAAACGAACUGAGAGAAGCAUUUGUGUCUGCCCCCAUUGAAGUGCAUGCUUUUAUGUGGUGAAGAUAAUUUCAUGAAUAUGCUAGAAAAUAUUAGUCGCUAGCUAGCAGUCCUUAUCCUUAAUUAUGUUUCAUCAAAUAUAUGGAUUUUCUGUGGUCGUUCAUCUGUAUUUCUUUUACUUUCUGUAGUAUGUUAGAAAGGGGAAUCUUUUGGUAUGUUUCUGUAAUGCAUUUCUGAAAAUCAGAAGCAGAAGCAUUAUGGAGUGUUGCCAUUCAGAGGAAGGUUGAAAAGAAAAGAAGUUGGCUUGCAAUUUUGGAUCAUGCUGUGUGGACCCAAGAAAGUUCAAACUCAAAUUUGAGACAAGGGAAAAGUUCAGAUAUGGGAGGUCAUUGCAGGCGCUGAAGACCUUGUUGAUAGAGAAGGUGUAUUUCUGACCAUGACAUGUUUGAGCAGAGGAUGAGAGGCGUUGGGAUAAUUAGUUAUUAGAGAUUUGGUUUGCUUUCACCUGUUGCCAUUUCUGUUCGUGAAGUAGUUCCAUUAACAAAACUCUCUUUAGUGGAAAUGUUUUUUGCUAAUUAAUUUGUAAUCUCUUUGACAGUAAUAAUGAGCUCUUAGAAGUGAAGCUUGAUUAUCUAUGUGCAUGUAUAUUAAUACAUUAUUAGUCAAUAAGGAAGUGUGUACGUAUGGAAAAAGAGAGACUUGAUUUGUAA